UUAUAGGGUUUUGCGGCCCGAGAAGAUGAGAUAUUGCAUAACCCUAAUUCUAAUGAAAGAGGAGAUUGAGAUCAUCUCUCCCCUUCGAUCGACGGCGGUGACUCUUGAGUUUUCCAUGCUAUCUGAAACGAUCCGAUUUAUGCCGGUGUACCUGCGACUAUAAAAAGGCUAGAUAUCCUCCUCUCAAAAUCAUCUUCUCAAUCUGAUUAAUAUAUCAAGUUCUUCUCUUACCUUAUUCGUCUAAGCGAUCUCGACUCCUAGCCAUAGCAACCCACGACUUCUCAUGUCAUCCCUGUCGCAUCGAAGAGUGGAGGAUGUGGAUCCGAGUGGAGGUGAAGGAUAUUCAUGUAGGGAGCUGGCAAGAGCGAUUUUGAAGUUAGGAGAGGUGUACGAGAGGAUCGAAGGUGCGAAGCAGUUGAUGAUGAUUGAGUUAGAGAAGCAGAGGAUGUAAGCUGCAAAGGAGCUUGACUUGCAACGGAUGAACAUGUUCAUGGAUAUGCAGAUGGAGCUUGAAAGAUCCAAGCUUGGCAAACGUAGAGUUACUGCUUAGAGUAAAAAUAUAAACUUUCUUUGUCCCUGCUAAGAAAAUUGUGAAUAUAUGUUGUAUAGGAAAGAAGUUGCAGGGAUUGGAUUGUGGAGAAGCUACUGUGGCGGUAGACAAAGGAGAAGUGAUUGGAUCUGAGAGGUCAUUUAAAGAAAUUGUUUUUAUUCUUACUCAUUAGGUUUCAAGUUAGAGCAAUGCUUUUUUCUUAUGUUUACUUCUCUUCUAUAAGGUACAUUGGUAGCAAAGCAGAUUGGUGAAA